rnacentral:rRNA from 1 species
CUCUUAUGGGCCGAACAGCCCAACCGCAGCUAAGGGAAAAAGUUUGAGCUAGGACUCUUCUCCACCUUCCUUCAAAAAAGGACUCUUCUUCAACCCGUCCUCCGGACUCGAGGAAUCCUCCUCCAUGAUGGCAACUCCUCCGCCUUCCUUCCUAUAAGAACCUCCUCCUCGCGCGAGCCACCUGAUUUGCUGAGAUCGUGGUAACACGCAAGUGCGGCGCGGAGCUCGCUCAAGGUCGAUGCGCCCCGUGGUGGUGGCGUUCGAGGCGGGUCGGCCAGAGGUUCAACAAUUUCUCGAUCUCCGGGGUUCAACAAUUUCUCGCCGGAUCCGCUCGUCGGCAUCCGUGGACUGCAUGAGCCGGAUGUCUCCUGUGCCCUAGCAGUGGUCAAUCGAUCUCCCUCUCCCGAACGACCCCGACAGUAGGUGCAUGAGCCCAUGGCCGGUUGCGUCGGCGAUGGGGUUGGAGCGCAUAAUAGUGACAUCAACCUGACUGCUGGCUGUUAAGCAUCUUCUUUGACGUCCAUACUACCACAUAUCUUAUUUAGUUUGACCUUCUGUGAGGAUGAGGGCUUCGUGUCUCACAUGAUAGUGUUCUCUCCCAAUCUUACGAGGCUACCACAAUCAUAAGCCAUCAUGUUCAUUAGGGAAAUAAUGAUUCAAGAAAAGAAGAUGGUUUGGGGAAACACAAAUAUGCUGGGGGCAUAGUAAAGCUGCAGAUCUAAAUGCAUGGACAAUAUCUCCUGCAGUUUUGAUUCAUUUUUAUUCAGGUAACUGCUCCAGGUGAGAAUGAUAUGCUGCUGGUCAUGCCAAAGGUUGUGAUACAUUUUUUUAUGAUAGUAUGAAUUGAUUGAUGAUGCAUCACAAGAAGCACAAGUUCUGCAGUAUCCAUUUCAGCAAGAAGUUUGCAUUGAGUAAUUCUUUUCAAGAAGAAGCUUACCAUGCACAACUAGCUAGCGAAUACUUCAUUCUUCGGUGGAAGACAUAGCAUAUAAUUACCUUGAGCACAUCAAUACAAGAUUUUCUAGCAUCAAGUAUUGUUCAUGGUUCACUCAUAAUGUGUGUUCUGUCCACUUUUCAACUUAAUUUUAUUAAGAUUUCUGGUUAUCACUGCAGGAGUUGCACCAGAGUCAAUGAGGGUAGUCUGCAUUGCAGACUGUGUUAACUAUUCCAGAUUUUAUCAACAUUAAAUUGUGCAUUGCCAUUGCCAUUUCCAUUUCUUGCAUCACCUACCUUGAAGUUGAGAGGAUUGAUUUUUUCUGUAAUUGUUCAACUGGAAGUAAAAAAUCAACUCUGCAUGCUUACAUGAAGCUAGAUUCCUGAAAAAUAGUUGUUUUCACAGUAUAUCAGUAUUUUGUUUCCCGAUCUAAAAAAGAUGUGUCUGAGCCUGACACAAGAGUUUGGCUAAUCUGCAGUAUGACUCAUUAGUAGUAUUUUCUUAGACAUGUUGAAUCAUUCCUCUAUCCCAGUAUUCAAAAUUUUCAUAUUGUGAUAUUGUCACAACUGUCAAGUGUAGGUUCCACAACCAAGCAGAAGUUGUCACCAAAGGUCAAGAUGGAAAUAGGUAAAACCGGUAUUUACAUGUUACACAUCCGCAGCUGUAGGAUGAACUGCCAUGGACUCCUGACCAACUAUCCCACACAUACGACUCUUUAAAAGGAUGUUCUUCCUCUAUCUCUCCAUGUCGUGUUUUAUUCCAUCCCAUACUUCAUGGUUCCAUCAGUACUGGAUUCCCAACAAGGAGAACGUGAUUCGGUCCAUCUAUGCCUUCCCCUUAUCAUAUUCAAGGUUUUGCAUUACAGGAUGAUUGAUGCGUCCGAUGAGCAUCCACAAUAAUGUGAAGUAAGGAGGCGACAUCGGUAGUUGAGGCUAUCAAGUGGAGGAAUAUGUUGGAUUGGUGGUGGCACGCAAAUCACACUCUAAAUCCAAUUGGAGUUCAUCUAUUCUACCAUCGCCCCACGCUGUCGCACUUCUCCUUACCAGAUUACACGUUGGAGGGAGGGGGGAACCAGCUGGGGCGGUCUGCAAUCUGCAAAGUCUAAAGUUGAACCCUGCACGUACAUCUCGCCGAUGCCGACAAUAUUUGGUUUGGUUUCAGUGAGCACGUGCUUGAACGCCUCAAAUUUUCUUGAUAUGUCCCUACUGUUAAGGCUGGCGCCUUGAUGCUCCUGCAGGCUACCAGGAAGGACCUAUUCAAUUGUGUUGGUUGUUGUGUUCGUUCUAAUGGGAUACAAGUCACAUGGCGUGAUGGACAUCAGGAAUCAGACUUGUGAUGGAGAUCAGACAGGCAGAAAUAUGUUUGCAGUAAAUAGAGUAUAAGAGCUCCUAUGAAUUAAUAUGUUUAGAAGUUCAAUGAUCGAUCUCGUCUUAUUAGUAACUGAGUUAAGCAACAGGCAUAUGUACUAUCAGUUUUUAUGUCUGACGCUCUUGCCUUCCAUACGUACUGAAUUAACAAAAUUCCUAUGUUCAGGAGGCGAUGCAGCGCUGGAAAAAACUCAUCGUAGUAAUUAGCUAAUUACUGUAUAUUGUCAGUUAUACUUCUCUUCAUAUAUACUACGACAUCAUAUUUCCCUCUCUAUCUGCUAACAUGAAAUUUGUAUACAGAUAGAGAAGACAAACAGAGCUAUCACUAUAGACGCAUAACGAACUUCUCAUAUUUACAUGGUUGAGUAUAAAUGUAUGUCCAAGUAUUUUUAUAGUUCAAUGUUACGUGAGUAAAUAUACAUCUUACACCAAAAUAUUCAGAAAUCC